CGCUGAAAAGAAUGGGUUGUCAAAUGGAAAUGGAGGAAUCGUGAGUGCCUGAACAUUCAUGGUGGAGAGGAGAGGUUUUGAGAGGAGAAGAGAUUGUCACCACAAUGAACAAAGAGGACUGGAGAAAGGAAAUGAUUUGACCAAGAUCCUUCUCAUAAAGGCACUCAAUGAUGGAAUUGUGAUUUGAAACCAGCUGCUGAGGUUGCAUCUUUCCCUUCUUGAGUCCGAACUUACUCUGGAGUUUCCACGGGCUUCCGCUUCUGCUGAAUGACUCUGAAGGGUGAACUGAGUUGGACAAAAGCAAAGGAAGUCUCAAGACUCAACUUGUUCUGAGAUUCAAAUGGGUUCCACAGUCCUGACUUCCACCUCAUCAUCACAAGUCAGUGGAUUAGGUGAAUCAACCUGGCUCCAAAUGACUUUUAGCCACACUUGGGGGAGGGGUAUUCUAAUUCAUUCACCAAAUAUUUAAACUGUUUAACGGCGCUAAUAGAGGUGAAUAUAUUACAGGUCUGUAUUUAGGCAGAGGAGCCUUAGGCAAAAUGUUGAAACUGGCAGAAAUUUACCUUUGUCUCUCCCCGCCUCCUCCCUGCCCCGCCCUCUGAAACACCUCUAUCAUCAUCUUCCCCUCCCCAACUCCUUUCAAGAAAAAAAAUCCUCUAAUAAAAUUUUACGACACAUACACA